rnacentral:ncRNA from 2 species
CUUUCCGAGGAGCGUUGCGGCUCGUCCCGCCUGUUUCACCAGGCCGACGGGUUAGGCUCGGAACCCAGGGCGGCAUGCCCUGCCUUCCAACUGCGCUCACCCACC